rnacentral:rRNA from 1 species
GAUGAACGCUGGCGGCGUGCCUAAUACAUGCAAGUCGAGCGAACAGACGAGGAUCUUGCUCCUCUGCCGUUAGCGGCGGACGGGUGAGUAACACGUGGAUAACCUACCUAUAAGACUGGGAUCACUUCGGGAAACCGGAUCUAAUACCGGACAAUAUAUUGAACGGCAUGGUUCAUUAGAGAACGCCGGUUUUGCUGUCACUAAUAGAUGGAUCCGCGCCGCAUUAGCUAGUUGGUAAGGUAACGGCUUACCAAGGCGACGAUGCGUAGCCGACCUGAGAGGGUGAUCGGCCACACUGGAACUGAGACACGGUCCAGACUCCUACGGGAGGCAGCAGUGGGGAAUCUUGCGCAAUGGGCGAAAGCCUGACGGAGCAACGCCGCGUGAGUGAUGAAGGUCUUCGGAUCGUAAAACUCUGUUAUUAGGGAAGAACAGAUGUGUGAGUAACUAUGCACGUCUUGACGGUACCUAAACAGAAAGCCACGGCUAACUACGUG